rnacentral:rRNA from 1 species
AGGGUUUGAUUAUGGCUCAGGAUGAACGCUGGCGGCGUGCUUAACACAUGCAAGUCGAGCGAAGCGCUUACGACAGAACCUUCGGGGGAAGAUGUAAGGGACUGAGCGGCGGACGGGUGAGUAACGCGUGGGUAACCUGCCUCAUACAGGGGGAUAACAGUUGGAAACGGCUGCUAAUACCGCAUAAGCGCACGGUAUCGCAUGAUACAGUGUGAAAAACUCCGGUGGUAUGAGAUGGACCCGCGUCUGAUUAGCUAGUUGGAGGGGUAACGGCCCACCAAGGCGACGAUCAGUAGCCGGCCUGAGAGGGUGAACGGCCACAUUGGGACUGAGACACGGCCCAG